rnacentral:rRNA from 1 species
CCUACGGGUGGCAGCAGUGGGGGAUAUUGCACAAUGGGGGCAACCCUGAUGCAGCGACGCCGCGUGGGUGAAGAAGCGCCUAGGCGCGUAAAGCCCUGUCAGCAGGGAAGAAAAUGACGGUACCUGAAGAAGAAGCCCCGGCUAACUACGUGCCAGCAGCCGCGGUAAUACGUAGGGGGCAAGCGUUAUCCGGAUUUACGGGGUGUAAAGGGGGCGCAGACGGCGAUGAAAGCCAGUAGUGAAAGCCCGGGGCACAACCCCGGGACUGCUAUUGGAACUGCGUGGCUAGAGUGCAGGAGGGGCAGGCGGAAUUCCUGGUGUAGCGGUGAAAUGCGUAGAUAUCAGGAGGAACACCGGUGGCGAAGGCGGCCUGCUGGACUGCAACUGACGUUGAGGCCCGAAAGCGUGGGGAGCAAACAGGAUUAGAUACCUUAGUAGUC